UCUGUUGGGAAAAAAAGAAAGAAAAAGGAAGUAGGGGGAGGCAGAAAAGAGGAGGUAAAGAUAGAUACAAGUCACUUUAUUCUAAACUGUGUGCACUUGUGUUUUUUUAGUAGAAUUCCAGCCUGUAGCGUUAGCGUUCUCAACACACUCCUGCUAAAAGGAAAACGUGCCUCUCAUGCUUUUAAAGUGUGAUUGAUGCAUGGGGAAAACAAAAGCAAACUUUUAAGAAAGCAUUCUAAAAGCCCCAAGGAAAUAUCAAGCAAAGCUGUAAAAGAAGACGAAUCUUUUGAGCUCCAGCACUGUGAAACAGCAACAUCCAUCCUCCUUAAUACACUGGUAUCCAAGCUGCCUUAGAAAUGCAGGGAGAACACUAACUGUAGAAAAUGACAUGGCAGCACCAGACUCCAGGGAUGGCUAAGACCCUCCCCACCAUCCUGUGUGACAUGGCUCGGCUUGGCUUCCGUGACCAAAAAUAUGCCUUCCACAGUGUCAUGGUCACAAGGUGAGCUUCACAGAUUUGGAAACGCUGCCAGAUAACAUCUAGAGCUUCUGUGCAUCACUGUAUGAAGAAUGAAGCUGCUGGAUGCAUUCAGUGUUGCGUGAACACGACACAUCAAGAAACAAAGGAGCUCAGAAAUACACACAGGGCAGCAUUUCUCCUGUCAGACAAGUGCAUUAGUACCCGUAACUUAAGCUUCAGUAGACAUAGCGUGACAGAUCUUACUUUCAGGUGCUUUAUCCAGUGUAUACCAACACUUAAAACGAUUGGGGUGCUGAACCUGGAUCUCCUCCAGCUCUGAACGUUGCAGGAUAUCCUUCUCAGUCUGCAGGGUAACGGAAAACAACGGUUAUGGCUCUGCAUUUGAAUGCAGCCUUCAGAUGGCCACUACAGUUCUGUGUAGCUUUGUGAGAUGGAACAGAUUAUUUAACUCUGUUUUAAAGACUGAAGAGGGCCUGAAAACACAAAUUAUUUCCACGAUGAUCCCAUCGCAGAACUUCCCCAGACUCUAGCCCCAUCAUUCCUUCCUUCUAAACAGUAAGAUAAAGCAACACCCGUAUCAAAACACAGAACCUUCACUCAUUACAGAAUCAGUGGUAACACUGUAAGAGUGAACCCUUCCUUUAACACCUACAUCACAAAAGCAGCUUUCAUUAAAGAAAAACUAACCACGACUACACACAUUUUCCUGCCCUCCACACUUUGCCUGUCAAUCAGGAAAUAAAAAGGCCAAUUUUUCACCUCUGCCACUUUAAAUUUCAUUAGCACUGCCAUAUGGAGAUGCUCAGUUUUUAAACAAGAUGUGGAACAACAAAUAACCAAGGAAGUACUGAGUUCUCAUUGGAACAACAAAGGCUGUGCAAAUUCUGCUCCUCUCUGAUGAAACACCAUCGAAGGCCAAAAGAAAACCUUCUUCCCAUAAAAGCAGCCACAGUUUGGGAAGGAGGGAAAGGGCAGAGACUAAAACUGGCAUCCUCCUCCACAGCCUUAAUAAUUUGGCACUGAGGACAUGGCGAUGUCUGGGAGCGUGGGGGUGAUGAGGAAUGUGCCAACACCUAUUGCCAGGAAGGUUCCUAUUUCUGGACCAGCAGCUGCACGGCUUUCAGAAGGGCUGUAACUGGGUCUGACCAGCUCCAAGUGGGCUGCUGUGAGCCCAGUACACUGUCAUCUGUAAUCCAACACAGCUCCUUCAGGAGGGUCAAAACAGAAGAUUAGCAAAACAUGUACAAAAAAUACAGUAUUAAAUAUUAAAAAAAAACAACCCUAGUCUGCAGGCUUUCAUGACUGUCCAUCUGCUUUAUAUUUGUGCAGUGCCUGGGUACAGGGACUCCUUAAAGCCAACCACUGAUGUUUACACAGCCUGUUGCUAAUACACGGGCAACUGUUGCUCACAAAAAAAAAAAAACCCUCCUCCUCACAAUAGGAUUUCCAAGUUGCUAGAACAGCUCAAGUUCUAUGUUAGUCAUUCUGAAUUAACUCACAUAAAAUCCCGACCCUCCACCAGCCCAGAAACCUACUGCAUUUUGUGCCAGCUUCAAGCACUCAGCAGAGAUCAAAUGCCACAGCUGCAUCACCCAGUGCCAGAGGGCACCCCCAGGGCACCUAGGGAGUUAUUACUGUAAUAAAGCACCAGAGCAGGGCAAUUGUUGGUGCUUGGAUCAUUGCUUCUGGGUAGAAAAAGAAACUUGUUCUGUAAUACAGACAUAGUCUGUGGGAAAUGGGAUACACAGAAUACCAGAGGAGAGAGGAACAAAGAAGAAAAGCCUAAAGAAGCUCAAAAACACAGGCAGGAAAAGAACUCUCACAAUCCAGGAGCAGAUAUUCAAAAUGAGGGAGUUUUAAAAACAAAAAGAUGAGCACCAGAAGAACGUCAGGCAAAGGAAGAGCGUGCGGUUCAGCUGUACACCACCACUUGGGUUGCCUGGUGAGCCAAGAAAUCCCUCUAUCACAAGGACAUUACGUGUCAAAAGGGUCUUCCCUUUUUCCAGCGGCGAAGUAUGAUACAGCUCAAAGAGUGAAAGAAACAUAUGAAGUGCUGAUGGAGGGAAUGAAACUGAAACAGCUGUGCAGAAUCCCAGCUCUGUAGUCAAGGAAGCUGCUGGAGAGCAGUCUUAAUUUUAGCUCACAUAAAGCAUUCUCAGAAAGUCUUAAAAGCCUGCUCUGAAGUUGGGGAGAUUCAAUUGCCGAAGGAGACCAAUGUCCACCUCUUCCAUGUUUUCAUUAAGAAAGACAGUUGUGAAAGACUACCCAGAACAUUAUCAACUUGCACAGAUGAAUCCAUGGUUUUAAAACAUUCUGAAUUAGAAACAGAACAGUAAGAUAAAGGACAUUGAUCGUUAGCUGUGAGGAUUAGCACUUCGGCAGCAAUACUCAAAGAAGUGAUUAUAGUGCUUUAUAUGGGAAGCUUUCAGCAUGACUGUUCACCUCUCCCCUCACAGUACGUAUUACCGCACCGUGCUUUCUCAGCAAGAACUUCAUUUGCUGAGUUGUGUUUGUUAAAUAACACUUCAUAAACACAAAUAAGGACAGAAAUUACCUGAUUAGCAAACAGCAGCUGGCAAACCGUGCCGUCAUCCUUGUCUUUCAUGAUUGCACGAAUGAUCUGCAGCAUAGGUGUUAUCCCUGAAAGAGAAGUGCUGGUAAGUGACGGCAGAAAGUAAAGAAGCAAGAGAAAGUGUGAAUGAGCAGGUGAGUGAAAAUAUCAACACCUAGCAGGUGUCAGAAGGCCAAAGACGAAUCUUUACACACACACACACGUACCAGUCCCACCUGCGAUCAUCCCCACAUACUUCACUUUCUUAGUAACCGGGUCAGCUUUCUUCUCAGGUCGAAUAGCAAACUCGCCUGAAAGAGACAGAGGUGGAACAACAAUGAAGACAGCAGGAAACAGAGCCUAUGAUCCCUUCCCAGCAUUUUUUAAUUAACUGACUUCGUAAAAUAGGGGCAGAAAACAGACAAAGGUGAACUGAAGACGUUACAAAGGAAAACAAAAUCUCUGGCAGUCUUUCAGGAUCACAGCGUCAGACACUGACAUGGGUUAUUAGUCCUGAUUCUGUGAGUACAGCAUGAAGCUGUUACUAGUUGUAUUUCUACUUGCUUAAAUCCUAUAACUUCAACAAGGUUCAGAUGCCCAAAUGCUGUAUCGUUUACUCUGGAUAAAUUGUAUUUUCUGAGUCAGCUUUGCCUUUUCCUUUGUAGACAAGCAGGCCACUGGGUCCUCUGAAGUCAAUGGUAUCCCCUAUUUUCAGGUUGUCUAAGUACUGAGACAUCUUCCCUCCGUCAGGAAAUUUCGGGUGGACGCCCUUCAUGUAAACCUAUUAAAAACCAAGAAUGAAAUAA